ACUAGGUUGCUGGGUGAAUUAGUGGCGAACGGGUGAGUAACACGUGAGUAACCUGCCCCCCUCUUCGGGAUAAGCCUUGGAAACGAGGUCUAAUACCGGAUAUUCAGCCUUUGCCGCAUGGUGGGGGUUGGAAAGAAUUUUGGUGGGGGAUGGGCUCGCGGCCUAUCAGCUUGUUGGUGGGGUGAUGGCCUACCAAGGCGUCGACGGGUAGCCGGCCUGAGAGGGCGACCGGCCACACUGGGACUGAGACACGGCCCAGACUCCUACGGGAGGCAGCAGUGGGGAAUAUUGCACAAUGGGCGAAAGCCUGAUGCAGCGACGCCGCGUGAGGGAUGACGGCCUUCGGGUUGUAAACCUCUUUCGACAAGGAAGAAGCCUUCGGGUGACGGUACUUGUAGAAGAAGCGCCGGCUAACUACGUGCCAGCAGCCGCGGUAAUACGUAGGGCGCAAGCGUUGUCCGGAAUUAUUGGGCGUAAAGAGCUCGUAGGCGGUCUGUCGCGUCUGGUGUGAAAACCCGAGGCUCAACCUCGGGCUGGCAUCGGGUACGGGCAGGCUGGAGUGCGGUAGGGGAGACUGGAAUUCCUGGUGUAGCGGUGGAAUGCGCAGAUAUCAGGAGGAACACCGAUGGCGAAGGCAGGUCUCUGGGCCGUUACUGACGCUGAGGAGCGAAAGCAUGGGGAGCGAACAGGAUUAGAUACCCUGGUAGUCCAUGCCGUAAACGUUGGGCACUAGGUGUGGGGCAGGUUCCACCUGUUCUGUGCCGUAGCUAACGCAUUAAGUGCCCCGCCUGGGGAGUACGGCCGCAGGCUAAAACUCAAAGGAAUUGACGGGGGCCCGCACAAGCGGCGGAGCAUGCGGAUUCAUUCGAUGCAACGCGAAGAACCUUACCAUGGCUUGACAUGCACCGGAUCGCUGCAGAGAUGUGGUUUCCGUCACGUCGUUGUACAGGUGUGCAUGGAU
rnacentral:rRNA from 1 species